rnacentral:rRNA from 1 species
AUUGAACGCUGGCGGCAUGCUUUACACAUGCAAGUCGAACGGUAACAGGCCGCAAGGUGCUGACGAGUGGCGAACGGGUGAGUAAUGCAUCGGAACGUGCCCAGUCGUGGGGGAUAACGCAGCGAAAGCUGCGCUAAUACCGCAUACGAUCUAUGGAUGAAAGCGGGGGACCGUAAGGCCUCGCGCGAUUGGAGCGGCCGAUGUCAGAUUAGGUAGUUGGUGAGGUAAAGGCUCACCAAGCCAACGAUCUGUAGCUGGUCUGAGAGGACGACCAGCCACACUGGGACUGAGACACGGCCCAGACUCCUACGGGAGGCAGCAGUCGGGAAUUUUGGACAAUGGGCGCAAGCCUGAUCCAGCAAUGCCGCGUGCAGGAAGAAGGCCUUCGGGUUGUAAACUGCUUUUGUACGGAACGAAACGGCUCUCACUAAUACUGGGGGCUAAUGACGGUACCGUAAGAAUAAGCACCGGCUAACUACGUGCCAGCAGCCGCCGCCGUAA